CACGCCUAUUGCACUCCGGGGUCCGGAGCGCUCUAGUGUCAAAAGUGGCUAUUGCACUCCGGAGUCCGGAGUCCUCUAGCGUCAAAAGUGGCUAUUGCACUCCGGAAAUUUAUGGCGACGAAUUGCAAAUAACGACUGAUUCUGUGUUUAGACUUUACAAUGGUUUUGAAUUCAUUGAAUAUUCAAUUAAAGGUUUCAGUAUAUUGAACUUUGUUUAUGAUUAUCUCCGCGGCGUUGGAACCCAAAGCAACCCAUCAUCAAAGGACAAGGCGCUUCCAUAUUCCGCUCUUAAAGGAUCUUUGAUUGACGCCGCACCAUGUGCCAAUUCUUUCCCCUCUUAAAUCAAUUAUUUUUUCAUUGUCAAUUCAUUCAUGUGAUGACAAAGCACCGAGUGAAACUGAACACGAAAAUACCAAGUAUUUUUCGCACUCACAAUUCAGUUAAAAUGUCUUUUGAUAUUCUCACUAUAAUAAAGUAAACUGCAUCUGCAUGUUAA